UAUUGGUAAGGCAGAGGUGUUGUAGGAGAGCUGUGUACUUAAAAACUUGCACAGGCCUACCCACAACUACUCCUUGGUCCCUGUUAACGCUGUUAACCUCUUCCUUUCUAAAGCAACAAGAUAAGAGAAGUUGGAAGCAUUCGUGAUGCAUGAAGAACCUUGUUGAAGACAUGGAAGUCUCCAGCAGAAUGUCUGUUCCACGGGGCUCUCCCACCUCGCACCCCAUCAGCUGGCACAAACGUGGGACUGCUCCUCCAAUGUGCCUGAGGGGAUGGAGUGCCGCCAGGAAUAAAGGAGCAGGAGCAUGGACGUGACCACGGACAUGCCAGGACCCUGAGCAGAAGGAACAUUUCAGGAAAAUCUCUUCUCUUUUUCACACAGUAACUUUGAACAGAGGAACCAUCGAAAUUCCAGAGAAAAGAGAAUCU
rnacentral:lncRNA from 1 species